AUGGAAUCAUAAAUGCUUUAUACAAAUCAGAGAAGGCAGAAAAAGAACGGAACACAAAGAAAAACGUCUCUGGGUUCCGAGACUUCCACUCUCGUCCCAGCCCUGCCCCUGGUCCGGACAUGAGACCCUGUCAAUCAAUCCCAAGGGCGUUGCCCUCCCUGAUGCAGGCCCCAGCCCGGCGAUCGCCCCUCCGCUCCCCAGCCGUGGAACUCUCCCCGCCUCUGAGCUCGCAGAGAGCAGCUGUCUCCUGGGGCAGCACCGGCGGGGGAAGCAGAGCGCUUUCUGGGAGCCAUCACGGGAACGAGUGAAGAAGGCCGGGAGCUUAGCUGCCUGCUCGGCAAUGUCCCAGCGCUGCCCGCAUGCGGCCUCCUGCCAUCCAGGUCCCCUCCAGGCCCACAGCUCCCCGACUCGGGCCCGCAGAGACUGACUGUCACGAGACAGGGUCCCGCUGUGGAGUCCAGGCUGGCCUCAAACUCACAGUGAUCCUCCUGCCUCGGCCUCCUCCUGAGUGCUGGAAUUACAGCCGUGUGCCACUGCUGCAAGGGCUAUUGAGAGAUGACUAACACUUUCAAGUUGUACUAGAUAAAACCGAGAUAAGAUUUUAAAGUGAUUUCUUUUGAAUCCAGUGUGAAUUAUUCAAUAGCUGAGCUCCCCAGAACCUUUCCCAAAGCUGGUGUGGGCCUCUGUGUCACCCAGGCCCCGCUGGAGCAGCCGGACAACAGUUGACACCCGGCCGAGGGCGAGUGCGGCCACACCAGGGUCCCUAUGGCCAAGCAGGGCCCGGAGCCCUAACCUGCAGCUUGGGAUGUCACUGAGCUGAGGCCCCUAAACGUGGACGCCUGAUUCCCACCCCCUUGCUCUUGGUUCUGAGCAGGCCCUGACCCUGCAGG
rnacentral:lncRNA from 1 species